rnacentral:rRNA from 1 species
UACGUAGGCAGCAAGCGUUGUUCGGAGUUACUGGGCGUAAAGGGUGUGUAGGCGGUCGGCUAAGUGUGGUGUGAAAUCUCCCGGCUCAACUGGGAGGGUGCGCUACAAACUGUCUGGCUAGAGUGCGGGAUGGGAAAGUGGAAUUCCUGGUGUAGCGGUGAAAUGCGUAGAUAUCAGGAGGAACACCGGUGGUGUAGACGGCUUUCUGGACCGUAACUGACGCUGAAACACGAAAGCGUGGGUAGCAAACAGG